rnacentral:rRNA from 1 species
GAUGAACGCUGGCGGCGUGCUUAACACAUGCAAGUCGAACGGGAUCCAGGCAGCUUGCUGCCUGGUGAGAGUGGCGAACGGGUGAGUAAUGCGUGACCGACCUGCCCCAUACACCGGAAUAGCUCCUGGAAACGGGUGGUAAUGCCGGAUGCUCCGACUCCUCGCAUGGGGUGUCGGGAAAGAUUUCAUCGGUAUGGGAUGGGGUCGCGUCCUAUCAGGUAGUCGGCGGGGUAACGGCCCACCGAGCCUACGACGGGUAGCCGGCCUGAGAGGGCGACCGGCCACAUUGGGACUGAGAUACGGCCCAGACUCCUACGGGAGGCAGCAGUGGGGAAUAUUGCACAAUGGGCGCAAGCCUGAUGCAGCGACGCCGCGUGCGGGAUGACGGCCUUCGGGUUGUAAACCGCUUUUGAUCGGGAGCAAGC